rnacentral:rRNA from 1 species
ACUCCUACGGGAGGCAGCAGUGGGGAAUAUUGCACAAUGGGCGCAAGCCUGAUGCAGCCAUGCCGCGUGUGUGAAGAAGGCCUUCGGGUUGUAAAGCACUUUCAGUCGUGAGGAAGGUGGUUAUGUUUAAUAGCAUAAGCACUUUAACUUGGUUAGCGUUAGCGACAGAAGAAGCACCGGCUAACUCCGUGCCAGCAGCCGCGGUAAUACGGAGGGUGCGAGCGUUAAUCGGAAUUACUGGGCGUAAAGCGCAUGCAGGUGGUUUGUUAAGUCAGAUGUGAAAGCCCGGGGCUCAACCUCGGAAUUGCAUUUGAAACUGGCAAGCUAGAGUACUGUAGAGGGGGGUAGAAUUUCAGGUGUAGCGGUGAAAUGCGUAGAGAUCUGAAGGAAUACCGGUGGCGAAGGCGGCCCCCUGGACAGAUACUGACACUCAGAUGCGAAAGCGUGGGGAGCAAACAGGAUUAGAUACCCUGGUAGCACG